rnacentral:rRNA from 1 species
UACGGGGGGGGCAAGCGUUGUUCGGAAUUACUGGGCGUAAAGGGUGUGUAGGCGGUUAUUUAAGUUUGGUGUGAAAUCUCCCGGCUCAACCGGGAGGGUGCGCCGAAUACUGAAUGACUUGGAGUGCGGGAGAGGAAAGUGGAAUUCCUGGUGUAGCGGUGAAAUGCGUAGAUAUCAGGAGGAACACCGGUGGUGUAGACGGCUUUCUGGACCGUAACUGACGCUGAGACACGAAAGCGUGGGUAGCAAACAGG